CGGUCAGUCAGGAUAUUCGGUAAAGGUUUCGGUCAGUCAGUAUAUUCGGUAAAGGUUUCGGUCGGUCAGUCAGGAUAUUCGGUAAAGGUUUCGGUCGGUCAGUCAGUAUAUUCGGUAAAGGUUUCGGUCGGUCAGUCAGGAUAUUCGGUAAAGGUUUCGGUCAGUCAGGAUAUUCGGUAAAGGUUUCGGUCGGUCAGUCAGGAUAUUCGGUAAAGGUUUCGGCCGGUCAGUCAGGAUAUUCGGUAAAGGUUUCGGUCAGUCAGGAUAUUCGGUAAAGGUUUCGGUCAGUCAGGAUAUUCGGUAAAGGUUUCGGUCAGUCAGUAUAUUCGGUAAAGGUUUCGGUCGGUCAGUCAGGAUAUUCGGUAAAGGUUUCGGUCAGUCAGGAUAUUCGGUAAAGGUUUCGGUCGGUCAGUCAGGAUAUUCGGUAAAGGUUUCGGCCGGUCAGUCAGGAUAUUCGGUAAAGGUUUCGGUCAGUCAGGAUAUUCGGUAAAGGUUUCGGUCAGUCAGGAUAUUCGGUAAAGGUUUCGGUCAGUCAGUAUAUUCGGUAAAGGUUUUGGCCGGUCAGUCAGGAUAUUCGGUAAAGGUUUCGGUCAGUCAGUAUAUUCGGUAAAGGUUUCGGUCGGUCAGUCAGGAUAUUCGGUAAAGGUUUCGGUCAG
rnacentral:lncRNA from 1 species